GCAGUGGCAGCGGAAAACACUGAUGACAUUGACAUUUCAGCUAAGCUGUUGGGCUUAUACUUGCAUCAGCAACAACAGCCAGAUAAACAGAUAUCUAUAUAAUGGGAAUGGGAAUGGGUAUAUAUAUAUGGAGGGCUUGUAACGCUCGACAAUGGCCUUUACACGGAAGCCGAGCAAUUAAUUCGAGCGUGGGCGGGGGCAGCCACUUGCUCCGCUUCACUGGCUCUGAAUCGAUUCAAAUUCUGGAUUAAUUUGGGCUCUUUGUUUCGUUCAGGCGAUCAGGGCAUUCAGCCCACGUGGCGGAUGAGUAAUCUGGACUUUAAGGAAGCAAGUUAGGAAGAACUACUAAGAAACUACUAACUAAUAAUUACAAUAAUAAUUGGUAUAAACAAAUAAAUAAUUGGUUUAUUUUAUAGA